rnacentral:rRNA from 1 species
UCGCAAGAAUGAAACUCAAAGGAAUUGACGGGGGCCCGCACAAGCGGAGGAACAUGUGGUUUAAUUCGAUGAUACGCGAGGAACCUUACCUGGGCUCGAACGGUAGAUGCAUAUGUCAGAGAUGAUAUAGUCUUCGGACAUCUAUCGAGGUGCUGCAUGGUUGUCGUCAGCUCGUGCCGUGAGGUGUCGGCUUAAGUGCCAUAACGAGCGCAACCCUUGUUGAUAGUUGCCAUCAGGUUAAGCUGGGGACUCUAUCAAGACUGCCACCGUAAGGUGUGAGGAAGGGGGGGAUGACGUCAAAUCAGCACGGCCCUUAUGUCCAGGGCGACACACGUGUUACAAUGGUAGGUACAGAGGGAUGCUACAUAGCGAUAUGGUGCAAAUCUCGAAAACCUAUCUCAGUUCGGAUUGGAGUCUGCAACUCGACUCCAUGAAGUUGGAUUCGCUAGUAAUCGCGCAUCAGCCAUGGCGCGGUGAAUACGUUCCCGGGCCUUGUACACACCGCCCGUCAAGCCAUGGAAGUUGGGGGUGCCUGAAGUUCGAGACCGUAAGGAUCGACCUAGGGCAAAACUAAUAACUGGGGCUAAGUCGUAACAAGGU